rnacentral:lncRNA from 13 species
UCUGGAGUAUACAGUAUUAUCAUAUCUCUCUGUCUGGAGUAUACAGUAUUAUCAUCUCUCUCUGUCUGGAGUAUACAGUAUUAUCAUGUCUGUCUGGAGUAUACAGUAUUAUCAUGUCUGUCUGGAGUAUACAGUAUUAUCAUAUCUCUCUGUCUGGAGUAUACAGUAUUAUCAUCUCUCUCUGUCUGGAGUAUACAAUAUUAUCAUGUCUGUCUGGUGUAUACAGUAUUAUCAUCUCUCUCUGCCUGGAGUAUACAGUAUUAUCAUGUCUGUCUGGAAUAUACAGCAUUAUCAUCUCUCUCUGUCUGGAGUAUACAGUAUUAUCAUCUCUCUCUGUCUGGAGUAUACAGUAUUAUCAUGUCUGUCUGGAAUAUACAGCAUUAUCAUCUCUCUCUGUCUGGAGUAUACAGUAUUGUCAUCUCUCUCUCGCUCUCCCUCUCAGGUCAGUUCUAUGCCCCUGGUGGAGAGAAGGAGUGUGUGUUGGGGCUGACUUCAGACCAGGAGAACAACAUCCUGGUCACUGGAGACACAGCAGGGUGUGUUCAGGUCUGGGACAUCUCUCAGUACGCGCUAUGCAUCACACAGGAGCCCUCCCCAAGCCACCCUCCUCUCCUGCAGUCCUGGAGGGCCCAUGAGGGGGCGAUAGUGAGUGUUGAGGUGCUGGUGUACACAGAGAGACUUUUCUUCCUAUCUGGCUCUGUGGAUGGGACCAGCAGAGUGUGGACGGAGGAGGGAGGGCAUGUAGGUUCAUUUGGACAGGAACCACAGUGGAGUCUCGCUGACCCAGCCCCUCACCACACCUCCAGGUACUGAAGUGGUCUAUUCUCUCAGUAAUCCAGAAGUAGUCCACUUGGAUCAACAUCACUAAGUUCUACACAUCUACUGUUUUAUGGGUCUCCAUUUUUCCUAGCUUGUUUUUGUUGUCCUCUUGUAACUUCUAGGCCUACCGAGGCUUUCUCAAUCUACUCCUUUGUAGUCGUUUAUAUAUGUAUAACUCUAAAAUGGCUCCCAUUAUAGAUCUAAAAGUACCACAGAAUUAAGCAGUCUGGCCUGGUGUGUCGAUGUGGGCUGGCGAAUAUUUCUGUAAGAACCGGGUGUAUUUCUAGACUCAGGGAAAAACACACAAAAUGAGAGAUUUGCAUCAUAUGAAUGAUGUUGAAUGAUGUUAAAAUGUUGAAGAGGAUUUGUAGGAGGCAUAGAAGAGGGCUAGGCUGAACUGUAAAGUGUGUGUGUGUGUGUGUGUGUGUGUGUGUGUGUGUGUGUGUGUGUGUGUGUGUGUGUGUGUGUGUGUAUUCUGAUGGGAAGCCAUGAGAAAGAAAUCCUGAUGAACUUUUUCGACAACCACAUUGAUUGAUUGACUCCUGUUGAAAGUUUACUGUAAACAUAGCUAAAUUAAACCAGAUGGAGUUUGGUUCGGUGUGGACGCUUUUCAGUAGUGUGUGAAUGAGUGACUGGAUAGAGAGUCACCCAUAACAACCGUUUGCUGUUGUGGGGAUGUGGUGAACAGAACGUCAUCUAUCUUCCCAAGGGAAAGAGGCACACACACUAAUCAAUAUGUUAUCUGAGGGCAGGCCUGGUGUGACAGUGUGUGUGGUAUGGUUUUAGUGGUCAUGAGGCCACUGUGGUACAACCCUAGUAAACACUGUAGUAUACAAAAACAUGUCAUUAGAUGUUUACUGGACAAUUAAGCUCCCUGAAACAUAGGUUCUCAAAAAACAGAUCAUUAGUCAAAUGUUUUCUACAAACGGUUGUUAUGGGUGACUCUCUAUCCAGUCACUCACUCACACACUACUGAAAAGCGUCCACACCGAACCAAACUCCAUCUGGUUUAAUUUAGCUAUGUUUACAGUAAACUUUCAACAGGAGUCAAUCAAUCAAUGUGGUUGUCGAAAAAGUUCAUCAGGAUGUCUUUCUCAUGGCAUACAAAAACAUGUCAUUAGAUGUUUACUGGACAAUUGAGCUCCCUGAAACAUAGGUUCUCAAAAAACAGAUCAUUAGUCAAAUGUUUUCUACAAAGUCUCUCUUGAAAGUGAUUUAUAUCAAUGAUAAGUCAAGGUUAGAUGUAAGUUUUAUCAAACUCUGUUUUCUAUACAGAGACCAGGUAAACAACCUGGCUGAGGAGGAGAAGGAAGAAAGGGAGAAGAAGAUUGAGAGUGAAAGUGACCCAUCACAGAGCAGCGAGGUCACAGGUCAAACAUCUGACCUUUUCAGCGGGGGUCCGGGUUCACCGGAGGAAUGGAUUUAUGAAGGUAACUAUUAGCAACAAACAGGUGUUCAUACACACAGUCCCCCACGCAUGGACAGAAACACACACACACACACACAGACACACACACACACACACACACACACACACACACACACACACACACACACACACACACACACACACAC